rnacentral:rRNA from 1 species
GCGCAGCAGGCGAGAAACCUCCGCAAUACACGAAAGUGUGACAGGGCCAUCCCGAGUGCCGUCCGCUGAGGACGGCUUUUCCCCAGUGUACAUAGCUGGGGGAAUAGGGAGAGGGCAAGCCUGGUGUCAGCCGCCGCGGUAAUACCAGCUCUCCGAGUGGUGGGGACGCUUUAGUUGGGCCUAGAGCAUCCGUAGCCGGCUGGGCAAGUCCUCCGUUAAAUCCAACGAUUCAAUCGUUGGGCUGCGGGGGAUACUGUCCAGCGUUGGGGGCGGGAGAGGCCGACGGUA